AUGUGCACUCGUUUUCAUAAAAAGUUCACGUCGAAAUGUAAAACAAAUCAAAUUUAUAUCGAUGCGUACAUAAAAAUAUGCAUAUAAAAGUUAGUUUUUCUUAAGUAAAGGAGAUAUAGUUGUAAAGUCGAAACAAAUACGUUCGUAAAAAAUCGUGCCAAGUAGCACUAAUGCCACAACAGUUGCCAACGACCACCAACACCAGAAGAGCUCGUAAAAUUAAAAUAAAUAACAAAGUAAAAAAAUAAUACCGACGGAAAAACAGACGUAAAAUCGUUGAACCACGCACGCCCGUUGCGGCGUGUUAAUACGAAAAAAUAGACAUAAAUCUAAAACUUAGAAAAGAAUAACUAAGUCGAUCCAGGAUCCACGUGUUGCGACGAACUUGUCAACGAAGAAAAAUACACGUGUUGCGAUUGCCUGUCAAACGGGAAAAAACAGACGAAAAAACGUUGAAUCCUAUACGCACGUUGUGGCGUGUUGACUCGAAAAAUUUAUAACGAAACUUAAAACGAAAAACUUGUGAAAGAUAAAAAGUAUGGGGGAACAAAGUUGAAAAUAAAAAAGUGUUGGGGGUUA
rnacentral:lncRNA from 1 species